CUAGGCGUUCUGCCUCCCAGGGUGGAGUUGGCAGAUGAGAAUGAGGGAGAGGCUAUUGUCAUCAUCAUCAAAAGCUUUAAGAUUCAGUGCCUAAUCUUGCAAGCCACAAUGCAGGAUGAUGCUGCUCAGAGGGAAUCCCAGCGAGCCAGGCCUGUCCCUAGGGAGCACCCACUGAAAGAGAAAUACUGGCAGCCACACGUAGAACAUUGACAGCAUUGCCUAUCUGAACAUGAUCCAUGAGUGGCUUUCUCUACAGCUGCAGGAAGUCUCACAACUCCAUUUUCCAGCGGGAUGGGGCUCUAUCUCAGUAGAGCAGCUUCGCUUUAUCAGCUGAAGGCCAUCUUGAGUUCAUGCUGUCUACUCACCUGCAUUCCUCGCCCUCCAGCAGCUUGCGCCUCUGGAUCAUCCGGUUCAUCUCAGAGAUCUCAUGCUUGGUGUUGCGGAGGUCAUCGCCAUGCCGGCCAGCUGUCUGCUGCAGCUCCUCAUACUGAUGCAGCCAGGAAAGAGGAAAGAUUCUGUUUAUAUGAGAAUGGGAAGAACUUUCCCAAAGUUCACAGGCAGUGAGUACUAAGUGGUGGCAAAUAGUGUGGGGCUGGUUCAGGCUUUUCCAAGGCUGAGCUAGUCUAGUGCCUUUGCUCUCCUGGAGACACUGGUGUGAGAUUCAGAGUGAGAUUAUUUCUCAGGUCCUUGGGUUUAGAUGGAAAUUGUCUACACAGCCAUUCCUAUAAAGCAUCCCAAUGGGCUUCAGCAGGUUCCAGGAGCCCCAUUCUUAGUGUCGUCAUGGCCUAGAAUCCUAGACAUGGGUGUGUCCCCUCACUCAGGAGACAGUCAUCAGAGCACCCACCUUGGUCUGAUACCAGGACUCGGCUUCUGUCCGGCUGCGGUUGGCAAUCU
rnacentral:lncRNA from 1 species